rnacentral:rRNA from 1 species
UGACCGCGUAUGAAAGUACGUUUCACCCUCGGGUGACAGGGAGACAGGUGGUGCAUGGUUGUCGUCAGCUCGUGUCGUGAGAUGUUGGGUUAAGUCCCGCAACGAGCGCAACCCCUACGUUUAGUUGCUAACAGGUGAAGCUGAGCACUCUAGACGAACUGCCGUUGAACAAACGGAGGAAGGUGGGGAUGACGUCAAAUCAUCAUGCCCCUUAUGUUCUGGGCUACACACGUGCUACAAUGGCCGGUACAGACGGAGGCGAAGCCGCGAGGCGGAGUAAAUACCGAAAAAGCCGGUCUCAGUUCGGAUUGCAGGCUGCAAUUCGCCUGCAUGAAGUCGGAAUCGCUAGUAAUCGCAGGUCAGCAUACUGCGGUGAAUACGUUCCCGGGCCUU